AGCUAGAGUGACAGAAAAGUAUCCUUAGGCAUGGUUGUGGCCAUCUUGGUCACCCGCCAGUUGCCAAGCAAAGUCUAGUUAUAGUUAAACUGACAGACU
rnacentral:snoRNA from 1 species